rnacentral:rRNA from 1 species
GAUGAACGCUGGCGGCGUGCCUAAUACAUGCAAGUCGAGCGAACAGACGAGGAGCUUGCUCCUCUGACGUUAGCGGCGGACGGGUGAGUAACACGUGGAUAACCUACCUAUAAGACUGGGAUAACUUCGGGAAACCGGAGCUAAUACCGGAUAAUAUAUUGAACCGCAUGGUUCAAUAGUGAAAUACGGUUUUGCUGUCACUUAUAGAUGGAUCCGCGCCGCAUUAGCUAGUUGGUAAGGUAACGGCUUACCAAGGCAACGAUGCGUAGCCGACCUGGGAGGGUGAUCGGCCACACUGGAACUGAGACACGGUCCAGACUCCUACGGGAGGCAGCAGUAGGGAAUCUUCCGCAAUGGGCGAAAGCCUGACGGAGCAACGCCGCGCGAGUGAUGAAGGUCUUCGGAUCGUAAAACUCUGUUAUUAGGGAAGAACAAAUGUGUAAGUAACUAUGCACGUCUUGACGGUACCUAAUCAGAAAGCCACGGCUAACUACGUG